rnacentral:rRNA from 1 species
CCCUAGUAACGGCGAAGUGAAGCGGCAACAGCUCAAAUUUGAAAUCUGGCCCUCGGGUCCGAGUUGUAAUUUGUAGAGGAUGCUUUUGGUGCGGUACCUUCCGAGUUCCCUGGAACGGGACGCCAUAGAGGGUGAGAGCCCCGUCUGGUUGGAUGCCAAUCCUCUGUAAAGCUCCUUCGACGAGUCGAGUAGUUUGGGAAUGCUGCUCUAAAUGGGAGGUAUAUGUCUUCUAAAGCUAAAUAUUGGCCAGAGACCGAUAGCGCACAAGUAGAGUGAUCGAAAGAUGAAAAGCACUUUGAAAAGAGAGUUAAAAAGCACGUGAAAUUGUUGAAAGGGAAGCGCUUAUGACCAGACUUGGGCUUGGUUGAUCAUCCGGCGUUCUCGCCGGUGCACUCUUCCGGCUCAGGCCAGCAUCAGUUUGCUUCGGGGGAUAAAGGCUUUGGGAAUGUGGCUCCCUCGGGAGUGUUAUAGCCCACUGUGUAAUACCCUGGAGCGGACUGAGGUACGCGUUCUGCAAGGAUGCUGGCGUAAUGGUCAUCAGUGACCCGUCUUGAAACACGGACCAAGGAGUCGUCUUCGUAUGCGAGUGUUCGGGUGUCAAACCCCUACGCGUAAUGAAAGUGAACGCAGGUGAGAGCUUCGGCGCAUCAUCGACCGAUCCUGAUGUUCUCGGAUGGAUUUGAGUAAGAGCAUACGGGGCCGGACCCGAAAGAAGGUGAACUAUGCCUGUGUAGGGUGAAGCCAGAGGAAACUCUGGUGGAGGCUCGCAGCGGUUCUGACGUGCAAAUCGAUCGUCAAACAUGGGCAUGGGGGCGAAAGACUAAUCG